CGGAGUGGCGCUGGCGCAUGCGCAGAGGAAACCCAAACGGUGUGUGUAAUGGCUGCCUGAUGGAGGGCGCAGCCCACGACGAAAUCUAACCGCGUGAAGUGAUUAAACAACAUUUGAAAUUGAGGCCUGUUUGGUGCCCUACUGGUCAUGGCAAUGA